rnacentral:rRNA from 1 species
UACGAGGGGAGCAAGCGUUGUUCGGAUUUACUGGGCGUAAAGGGCGCGUAGGCGGCGUGACAAGUCACUUGUGAAAUCUCCGGGCUUAACUCGGAACGGUCAAGUGAUACUGUCGUGCUAGAGUACAGAAGGGGCAACUGGAAUUCUCGGUGUAGCGGUGAAAUGCGUAGAUAUCGAGAGGAACACCUGCGGCGAAGGCGGGUUGCUGGGCUGAUACUGACGCUGAGGCGCGAAAGCUAGGGGAGCGAACGGG